UUAGCUCAGCACUUACACUUUACUUCAUUCUGUCUUUUUGACUCUUUUCUCUCUCAUUCACAAGUCCCACCACCGCUUUAUCGAAAAAGGCAAGGCGUUCGUCACCUUUUGCGUUUUUCUACUUUUCAUCCGGGGAUGGCGGAUUGGGCUCCGGUCCUCGUCGGAGUUGUACUGUUCGUAUUGCUCUCUCCAGGUCUCCUCUUCUCGUUGCCUGGUCAUCACCGGACGCUAGAUUUCGGCGGCAUGAAAACCAACGGAAAAGCAAUCGCCGUCCACACACUCAUCUUCUUCGCUGCUUACACGAUCUUGAUCCUCGCUGUCAAUCUCCACAUCACCACCGGCUGAUUUAGGUUUUCCGGCGAAAUAAAGGUAACCCCCUUAUUGGAUCUGGGGGAGUUUCAAGAAUCUUCUUAGAUUUGGAUCUCUGUUUUUUUAGAGCUUUUACUUUUUACUUACGGACAUAAACUUGUUGUGUUGUACUGAAAAUGUAUUAUGUUAUUUAUCGUUAAGGUUGUGACAUUGCGAUUAAUAUAAAUGAAAAUUGAACCUUUUUGGAUCCGUAUGAGUAAAGAGUCAAAGAUUAAUGAAAAAAAAGUUGUGGAAACAAUCAAAAUACAAAAUGUUUUAGACCAGUUGAUGUUGUUUGAGUAUAACAUGACUGAGUAACGCGAGCUCGUAAAUGUUUUAUACCAGUUAAAGUCUGAACCUUUGUAAUUAAAGGUAAGAAAUUGAAUUUGGGAAAAUACAAAAUUACAGAUUAUUUAUUUGUAUUUUUAGUCACCCUGCUUGAAACACUAUGAGCCAAGAAUUCAGAGAUUAGCAAAAUAAGUAGCAGAAAAAGGCAAACUUUGAAUACAAAUAAGGUCGCCUUUGUUAUACUAGAAGAUCAGAAAUGGAUGUGAAUUUGUAUGGCUAUGACCAAGAUAGUGAGUAUACAGAAGUAAAUAAUGGCGUGGACCAAAAUCGAAAUGCCGCUUGUGCUCAUGUUACCAAACUCCAUCACUCUUGUCCUUGCCGGUAGCUGAAAGAGCAAUACUGGUGAGAGUAGGAUGAACAGAGCCACUGCUACAAUCACUGGUCCCCAGUCUGCACUCAUAUCUCCAGUUAUCUUCUCUCUACUAUGAUAGGUGUUUAUUGUGUAAUAGGUUCUUGUUCUUGCAGAUGAAGUAAGAUGUGGGAUUAAAGCUUGUGAUGGUUUUAUGUAGAGUUAUGGGUUUCUUGGUGGCUAAGGAGAGGAACUGGUUUUAGAUGCUAAGCUUUGGUAAGGCUACAAAGGAAAGGUAUUGUAUUCUUUAAAUGUUUUUUUUUUGCCUCUUUUGUCUUUUUUAGUUGUUUAUAGACUUUCUUUAUUCUUAAAUUUUCAAUCAAUUGCUUCUUUUAUGGUUUCUGUUUUCUAUUCUCAAUGACAAAUUGACAACUGCUUUACAGAUCGUUCUUGGUACGUGUUUUUUGCUUUUGUUAAAGAAUUGCUAAACAAAAAAAAGUAAAUGAAUGUGUAAAAGAUGAUUUAACCAUUCUUUUUUAUCAUUUUCAAGGGUCUACUUUUUCUUCAUAGGUUUAGAUUUAGGGUUUUUUCUGGUCAGUAUAGAGGAGACUGUUGGACCAGCGAGACUAAGCAGGACUGAAUAUGGUAGUUUGGUAAGAAAUAUUGGCUCUGAUGAUGAACAAUGUGAAACUCCUUGCUUGCUUUCAUGUUAGGCUAUAUGUUUAUAACCGAUUGGAACUAAAUUAUACAUAAAAAGAUGAUAAAAAAAAAAAGUGUUAGUCACGCUUAAAGAAGUACAUAACUAAAAUCAAACAUGUAAGAGGAAUGAAACAGCAAAGAAAGUUCACUAACCUCCAGUGUCUCAAUCUGUUUAGUGACUUUCCACAUCCCCCUCAUGACGUCUUCAGCCUCCACCACCCGCUUAGUCAACCUCUCGAUCUCCUCCUGCACACCUAUUACCCAAGGCUGACGAUAAUGGAACCCAUCAGCCUUGGUUACAACAUUAAAAAAUAUCAGAGACUUGUAGUUCAUGAAACCCAUAAACGAUAAUCAAACCGGAAAAAAGAUAACCUCGUGGUUUAUGCAGGUGAAGAACCGCUUCCCCGGAUUAGUGUCGUACUCGUCAUUCCGUCUAACCUCAUCAAUAAUUCUCCCACCACAUGGACACUUUCUUGGAAUCCCGUACUCUGAAUCGGCCACGAACCCUAACAUGUUGUUGUAAUCGAUUUGCCUCUUUGAAUUUCUUUUCUCUUCAGCCGGAUCCAUCUGUGCCACAAAUCGAUAGUAUUAGCACAUAAUAAUGAUGGAAUAUGAUUAAACGAACUCUCAAUCGAACUCCCUUAUCGAUUAAGAACCCUAAGAAAAAAAAACCCAAAUCGAUUUUGAAUCACACAAUUCGCAUUCGAAAAAAACUCCCCAAAUCAAGUCUAAUCCAUAUUUAAUCAACUAUAUAUUCACCUUAGAGCGUCGAGAAAAGAGACCGUCGUCGAUUUGAUGGACAGAACCUACGGAAUUCGCCGUCGCACCGAAGAUCGCCGCAGGGAUGAGAUACCCUAGCUUUUUUGAGAGAGGAGAGAAAUGAAUCGAAUAACGCGAAAUCCCGUCUUUCCACAACGUCAGCGCGGAAACGACCAGCCAAUCUGUGCGUGACGCGUGGCUUGAACUCGCCCCUUACGGGUUCAUAACUAAGGCCCGGUUCAGCGAUAUUUACCCAUUUUACAUUUUCUUUUAAUUGAUCGGACCUAAGAUCCCGAGCCCAUGACCCCCUCAUAAACCGCUGAUGCGGAUGGUCUAAGUGCGUUUACUUCUUUAUUUUCACGAGUUAUAUGACUUACGACCACAUAGUAACGCAAAAAAGACCAGACAAACUCACCAUGAAUAAUGAUUUUAAUCGUAGAGAAACGGUUCUAUCAUUUCAUCGCAUUCAAGUCUUAUGAUAUUCACAUGAACCGGGACCUUCUUGUUGUGAUCAAUAAAUGUUACACGCCAAUUUUUGAAAUUCAAUUUGGAGGAGUUUCGUUAUACACAUGUGACAUGUCAUGUAAUCUUCUGUUUAUGAAAUUUAUUUGAAAGACAAAAAAAACUAGUAGCGGAUGAGAUGUAAUGGGUCUACCACUCGCUAAUAACAUUUAUCUUCUUUUUCGAUUUGACAUAUAUAUUCUUUUAAAAUUAGUAAUAAUUAAUUUGAUUGGUGUAUUUCAUUUUAAAAUGAUUCCUUAUAUUGACAUAACACAAAACGUGUAAAAUUAUUAUAUCUACCCCCAUCUUAAUCUUUUGUGCGUAUAUUAAAUUAACCUAUAACUUGGGUUAGAAAAAAAAAAACAUAUCGAACAAUAUAUAUAUUUUUCUUAGUGCAUGGAGUACGCGUUUACACUUGGAGAUGUCCCUACAGGCUCCUCCUGCACAGCACACCAAGUAGCAAUCUUAUUAAUUUUAUUAGAAUCUUAUCACAUUUUUUUCAUAAAUUCAGAUUAGAAUUUAAUUUAGUGUUAAUUAUCUCAGUAACCAAUUUUGUGUUAUGGGUCAGCUUUAUAAUCUGAAACAUAUAAACAACUCUACUGGUCAGCUUUUUAUUUUUCUUUUUUUGUUACACCAUUUACCUUUAAUUUUCAAGUAAAAAUUUUAGGAAAACAUAAACUUUUACAAUUUGUCUUUUUAAAAUCUGUAAGUCAAAAAACCUUCUCCCACCAAGUAUAAUGAAAAAGAGAUUCUACGUUUUUAUCACACAUAUACGAGACUAUUCUAAAUUUUCGAAAAUUUAAAAUAAAGGUAAAGAAAAGGAAAAAUAAUCUUUUUUUUUUGUCAUCAAAGUGGCCUUAGCUCAGCACUUACACUUUACUUCAUUCUGUCUUUUUGACUCUUUUCUCUCUCAUUCACAAGUCCCACCACCGCUUUAUCGAAAAAGGCAAGGCGUUCGUCACCUUUUGCGUUUUUCUACUUUUCAUCCGGGGAUGGCGGAUUGGGCUCCGGUCCUCGUCGGAGUUGUACUGUUCGUAUUGCUCUCUCCAGGUCUCCUCUUCUCGUUGCCUGGUCAUCACCGGACGCUAGAUUUCGGCGGCAUGAAAACCAACGGAAAAGCAAUCGCCGUCCACACACUCAUCUUCUUCGCUGCUUACACGAUCUUGAUCCUCGCUGUCAAUCUCCACAUCACCACCGGCUGAUUUAGGUUUUCCGGCGAAAUAAAGGUAACCCCCUUAUUGGAUCUGGGGGAGUUUCAAGAAUCUUCUUAGAUUUGGAUCUCUGUUUUUUUAGAGCUUUUACUUUUUACUUACGGACAUAAACUUGUUGUGUUGUACUGAAAAUGUAUUAUGUUAUUUAUCGUUAAGGUUGUGACAUUGCGAUUAAUAUAAAUGAAAAUUGAACCUUUUUGGAUCCGUAUGAGUAAAGAGUCAAAGAUUAAUGAAAAAAAAGUUGUGGAAACAAUCAAAAUACAAAAUGUUUUAGACCAGUUGAUGUUGUUUGAGUAUAACAUGACUGAGUAACGCGAG
rnacentral:lncRNA from 1 species